CUUGGUCAUUUAGAGGAAGUAAAAGUCGUAACAAGGUCUCCGUUGGUGAACCAGCGGAGGGAUCAUUACCGAGUUUACAACUCCCAAACCCCUGUGAACAUACCUAUACGUUGCCUCGGCGGAUCAGCCCGCGCCCCGUAAAACGGGACGGCCCGCCCGAGGACCCCUAAACUCUGUUUUUAGUGGAACUUCUGAGUAAAACAAACAAAUAAAUCAAAACUUUCAACAACGGAUCUCUUGGUUCUGGCAUCGAUGAAGAACGCAGCAAAAUGCAAUAAGUAAUGUGAAUUGCAGAAUUCAGUGAAUCAUCGAAUCUUUGAACGCACAUUGCGCCCGCCAGUAUUCUGGCGGGCAUGCCUGUUCGAGCGUCAUUUCAACCCUCAAGCUCAGCUUGGUGUUGGGACUCGCGGUAACCCGCGUUCCCCAAAUCGAUUGGCGGUCACGUCGAGCUUCCAUAGCGUAGUAAUCAUACACCUCGUUACUGGUAAUCGUCGCGGCCACGCCGUAAAACCCCAACUUCUGAAUGUUGACCUCGGAUCAGGUAGGAAUACCCGCUGAACUUAAGCAUAUCAAUAAGCGGAG
rnacentral:rRNA from 1 species